rnacentral:lncRNA from 1 species
CAGGCUGGUCUCAAACUCCUGGCCUCAACUGAUAUGCUGGUCUUGGCCUCCCAAAGUGCUGGGAUUAUAGGCAUGAGCUGCCACACCCAGUCUCAGUGUGCGAUCUUAAGAAUGCCUUUCGUAUUUAACCAUGAAGUUAGUCUGCCUUAGCCUCUACUUCAUUCUCGUGAAGAGCCUUAAUAUCAGGCAUAGAUGAGAGGAUAUUUCCCUUGAAGCCCUUUUCUGAGUAGGUACCUGCACAUGUUCUUCUACAUUUCUGGUAAUAUGUAGAUAUUUUACAAA